UCCCAAGCUCAGGGCGAGAGCUGCCACAUCAGCAGCCAUCUGCGAGGGGAGCAAACCCUGGAUGUGUGGUCUCCGUAAACCGUGAGAAGGAAAAGGUGGGCAGAUGCCAGGAGACGAUGCAGAGGGCUGGGAAGAAGCAGCCUUGUGAUCUCCCGGGAUAGCAGCGCAGGUGACCCAGCUGGGGCAGCCCUUCAGUUCCAUUCUCCUUCAUCACUGCUGGCCAGGGAUACAAAACAGCCAGGGCCCCUGGGAGAGCAAAUCACUGCCCGGAGAAAUCCUUCCGCAGCAGGGACCUCUGUGUGGAGCUAAGACACGGGGAAGGACAGAUGGAAAUGGGAAGUUUUGCCCUGCUGAGCAAGAAAAUAUUGUUUUCACGGGCCACCAGGAGACAGAGGUUGGGGUGCCCAACAAGGCCCAGAAGAGUGUGUUGCACCCACUGGAGCUGGAGUUACAGGCAUUUGUGAGUCACCCUACGCAGGCGCUGAGAACGGAACUCUGGAGCACUCCUAAGAGCUGAGUCGUCUCUCCAACCUCAAGUCAGCUCCAGACUGAAAUCCCACAUUCUUUCCCUUAAAAUAAUACUGGCACUUGUCAAAAUAAAGCCUCUUAAAACAGA